rnacentral:lncRNA from 1 species
GGCAACCUGUUGGGGUCCUGUUCUGUGCUGUGGAAUGUUUGUUCUUUUGGUUUUUGCAGUGAAUCUUGCUGCUGCUCACUCUUCGGGUCUGCACUACCUUUAUGAGCUGCAAUACUCACUGUGAAGGUCUGCAGCUUCACUCCUGAAGCCAGGGAGACCACAAGCCCACCGGGAGGAACAAACAACUCCGGACCUGCCACCUUUAACAGCUGUAACACUCACUGCCAAGGUCUGCGGCUUCACUCCUGAAGUCAGUGAGACCACGAACCCACCAGAAGGAAGAAACUCAGGAAACAGCUGAACAUCUGAAGGAACGAACUCCAGACACACCGUCUUUAAGAACUGUAACUCACGGGCACGGUGGCUCAUGCCUAUGAUCCCAGCACUUUGGGAGGCUGAGACGGGCGGAUCAUGAGGUCAGGAGACCAUCCUGGCUAACAUGGUGAAAUCCCAUCUCUACUAAAAAUACAAAAAAAAAUAGCUGGGCGUGGUGGCGGGCGCCUGUAGUCCCAGCUACUGGGGAGGGUGAGGCAGGAGAAUGGUGUGAACCUGGGAGGUGGAGCUUGCAGUGAGCCGAGAUGGCGCCACUGCACUCCAGUCUGGGCGACAGAGCAAGACUCAGUUUCUUGGUUUGGUUUCGUUUUUAGAGGAACACUCACCGUGAGGGUCUGCAGCUUCUUUCUUGAAGACAGCGAGACCAAGAACCCACAGAAGGAACCAAUUCCGGACACAUUAUCUCUGGCUAUUUUUACAAAUAACACAGAGUUGAGUAUUAAUAGCUAUGUGAGAAGCCUUAUGGCCCACAAAGCUGAAAAUGUCUGCUGUCUGACUCUUCACACAAGGGAAGUUGCCAAGCCCUGGGUUAAGUACAUGGUCCAGCAUCAUAGCUUCAAAGUGACCUUGGGCUUCAAGCCCAGGUCUGCCCAAGUCCUUUGCCAACUCUCAUGAGUGCUAUGCUUUCGCAGUCUUCUGCAAUGGGGAGCAUCAGGAGUUCAUUCAUCUGUUUAUUCCACAGCACAUUUAGUAGGUGCACGUUUUAUGCCAGGUGCAGCUGAGCAUUGAGAUGAAAAGGAGUUUGUUCCUUCCCCUCAGGAAUUCACUGUCUAGGAAGUGAGGCAGAGUGUGUCCUUAACCAAUCCCUAAUUGAGAAUAAAUCCUGGCUUUUGCCUGAUUAAGGCUUUAACGGUUGAAGUUGGGAUAAAAAUAGUAGCCUGCAGCUGGGUGCAGUGGCUAAUUCCCGUAAUCCCAUCACUUUGGGAGGCUAAGACAGGAGGAUUGCUUGAGGCCAGGAAUUCAAGACCAGUCUGGGCAAUAUAGUGAGACCUUGUCUCUAUCAAAAAUUUAAAAAAUCAGCCGCAUGUGAUGGUGCACGCCUGUAGUCCCAACUAAUUAGGAGGCUGAGGCAGGAACAUUACUUGAGCCUGGGAGCUAGAGGCUACAGUGAGCUAUGAUCGUACUACUGCACUCCAGCCUGGGCAACGGUGAGACCAUGUCUCUAAAUAAAAACAGUAGCCUGAUGCCUGGCAUGUUUAAGCAAACACAGGACAAGAGAUAACCCUCUUGGUCCCCCUCAGCAACAGUGUGGGCUGAGAGCUCAAAGUGUGAACAAGACAGGGUGGCUGCAAGUUGUGGGCUAAUGGGAGGGGUUACUGGAGGUUGCCACGGUGAUGGUGCAGGCUAGCCCCAAAAGAGGCUUAGGCCAGCAGCAGGGAGGAGGCUGAGAUGAGAGAGGCCUGGAGUAGGGGUCGGGUGCAUAUGUUGAGCUCUGCAAUCAAGGUACCUGGAUUCAAAUCCCAACUCUACCACUUACAAGCUGUGUGAGCUGAGCAAGUUACUUAGUUUCUCAGCGCCUGGUUUUUCCCAAGUGUAAAAUGGAAAAAACAAUACCUACUUCAUAAGGUCUCUCUGUGGAUUAAAUUUGUUCACGCAGUGCUUAGACCAAGUCAGUGCCCCAUACUCAUUAGCUACUCCCUGGGUUCAGAGGAUCCCUUUGGCUGCUGGGUUGUAACUUGAGAAUUCCACUGAGGAAAACAAGGCAGGAAUCUGUGGCCUUGGGAAGUGCCCGUGCUCCUGUUUCUGCUCAUGGGAUGACAGUACAGUGUAGAAAGUGCUGAGCUCACAGGAAACACCAGGAGCAGAGGUGGGCACUGAAAUAGCCCUGGGUGGCAGGAAGGGGGAGGUGGCAGGAAGGUGGCAGGUUCCCUGUGUUUAGAUAGGCAUGAGGACCUCUCCAUCAAAUGCCCCCAGCAGAAUUCUCACAAGAAAAGUCAUGUCUG